rnacentral:rRNA from 1 species
UGACUGCGUACCUUUUGUAUAAUGGGUCAGCGACUUACAUUCAGUGGCAAGCUUAACCGAAUAGGGAAGGCGUAGGGAAACCGAGUCCGAAUAGGGCGAUUCAGUCGCUGGGUGUAGACCCGAAACCAAGUGAUCUAUCCAUGGCCAGGAUGAAGGUGCCGUAACAGGUACUGGAGGUCCGAACCGACUAAUGUUGCAAAAUUAGCGGAUGAGCUGUGGAUAGGGGUGAAAGGCUAAACAAACUUGGAGAUAGCUGGUUCUCUCCGAAAACUAUUUAGGUAGUGCCUCAAGUAUUACCUGCGGGGGUAGAGCACUGUUUUGGCUAGGGGGUCAUGGCGACUUACCAAACCAAGGCAAACUCCGAAUACCGCAGAGUACAGCUUGGGAGACAGAGCACCGGGUGCUAACGUCCGGACUCAAGAGGGAAACAACCCAGACCGCCAGCUAAGGUCCCUAAUAUUGGCUAAGUGGGAAACGAAGUGGGAAGGCAUUGACAGUCAGGAGGUUGGCUUAGAAGCAGCCAUCCUUUAAAGAAAGCGUAACAGCUCAUUAGCCUAGUUUUUUUGCGCCGAAAAUUUAACGAGACUAAAGGUAAAUACCGAAACUGCAAACAUUUUUUUUAAUUGUGGUAGUGGAACAUUCUGUAAUGUUAAUAUAUGUUAUAUUGUUAAAUAUAAUAAUACAUCAGAAGAGAAAAUGCUGAUAUGAG